AUGCACGACGCACGCAUGCAUGCAGCUACUGCAGUGCACAUAAGCAUCUCAGUUGUCGUUGGUACAUGUGUCAUUGCAGUGCUGAUAACCAGCAACGCUACAGUUUUUGCAGCUCACGUUGUUGGUUACUGGAUGUUCCUAAUCCUACAUGUAGCUGGUUGUUGCUCUUUUUCUCUGAGCAUAUCCCUAUGGAUGGGUGUAACAGAUUUACUACUCUGCAGUAGUGAAAUAACCUCACACUUUCUUAGUCUCUCAUCUUAUCUGCAGGAGAAGGAAGAAGUUAUCAAGCCGUGGGACUCGGUCAGCCUUGCACAAAGAGAGGAUCAUGCUACUGGAGUUGUCAAGUAUUGA
rnacentral:rRNA from 1 species